rnacentral:lncRNA from 1 species
GCGGCGGCGGCGGCGGGGGACUCCGACUCUUGAGACGCGGAUGCAUUCUCCGUGGAAGACCCAGUGCAGAAGGUGUGGGGCGGCGGCACUGCUGGCGGGGAGCGCUGGGAAGGCGAGGACUAAGACGAGGGCGUCAACGAUAACUGGGAUGACGAUCAAGACUUAAAAAAAGAAGAAGCAGAAGUAAAACCGGAGGUAAAAAGUUCAGAAAAGAAAAAAACAGCAGAGAAGAUAAAAGAGAAAGAACGGCAACAGAAGAAAAGCAAGAAGAAAUUAAAAAGAGGUUAAAAGAACCUGAAGAACCUAAAGUGCUAACACCAGAAGAACAAUUAGCAGAUAAACUGGGGCUAAAUAAAUUACAGGAAGAGUCAGACCUCGAAUUAGCAAAGGAAACUUUUGGUGUUAAUAGUACAGUUUAUGGAAUAGAUGCUAUGAACCCAUCUUCAAGAGAUGAUUUUACAGAGUUUGGAAAGUUACUAAAAGAUAAAAUUACACAAAAUGAAAAGUCACUAUAUGAUGUCUUUUUUUUUUUGGAAAUCUUAGUUCGAGAUGUGUGUAUUUCAUUGGAAAUUGAUAACUUGAAAAAGAUUACCAAUUCACUGACUGUACUUUGCCGUAAAAACAGAAGCAAGAAAAACCAAAAAGAAGAAGAAAGGUGUGGUUCCUGGAGAGGGAUAAAAGCCACCAUGAAAGAUGAUCUGGCAGAUUAUGGUGGUUAUGAUGGAGGU